rnacentral:rRNA from 1 species
UACGUAGGCGGUUUGCUAAGUCUGGUGUGAAAUCUCCUGGCUUAACUGGGAGGGUGCGCUAGAUACUGGCAGGCUUGAGUAUGGGAGAGGAGAGUGGAAUUCCUGGUGUAGCGGUGAAAUGCGUAGAUAUCAGGAGGAACGCCGGUGGUGUAGACGGCUCUCUGGACCAUUACUGACGCUGAGGUACGAAAGCGUGGGUAGCAAACAGGAUUAGAUACCCUGGUAGUCCACGCCCUAAACGAUGCGGACUUGGUGUAGGCAGUUCAGUCUGUCUGUGCCGGAGCUAACGCGUUAAGUCCGCCGCCUGGGGAGUACGGUCGCAAGGCUGAA